UCGAACGGUAGCACAGAGAGCUUGCUCUCGGGUGACGAGUGGCGGACGGGUGAGUAAUGUCUGGGAAACUGCCUGAUGGAGGGGGAUAACUACUGGAAACGGUAGCUAAUACCGCAUAAUGUCGCAAGACCAAAGAGGGGGACCUUCGGGCCUCUUGCCAUCAGAUGUGCCCAGAUGGGAUUAGCUAGUAGGUGGGGUAACGGCUCACCUAGGCGACGAUCCCUAGCUGGUCUGAGAGGAUGACCAGCCACACUGGAACUGAGACACGGUCCAGACUCCUACGGGAGGCAGCAGUGGGGAAUAUUGCACAAUGGGCGCAAGCCUGAUGCAGCCAUGCCGCGUGUAUGAAGAAGGCCUUCGGGUUGUAAAGUACUUUCAGCGGGGAGGAAGGUGUUGUGGUUAAUAACCGCAGCAAUUGACGUUACCCGCAGAAGAAGCACCGGCUAACUCCGUGCCAGCAGCCGCGGUAAUACGGAGGGUGCAAGCGUUAAUCGGAAUUACUGGGCGUAAAGCGCACGCAGGCGGUCUG
rnacentral:rRNA from 1 species